rnacentral:rRNA from 1 species
AUUGAACGCUGGCGGCAUGCCUAACACAUGCAAGUCGAACGGCAGCACGGCAGUAGCAAUACUGUGGGUGGCGAGUGGCGGACGGGUGAGGAAUACGUCGGAAUCUGCCCAGUCGUGGGGGAUAACUAGCCGAAAGGUUAGCUAAUACCGCAUACGACCGAGAGGUGAAAGCGGGGGACCGCAAGGCCUCGCGCGAUUGGAUGAGCCGACGUCGGAUUAGCUAGUUGGAGGGGUAAAGGCCCACCAAGGCGACGAUCCGUAGCUGGUCUGAGAGGAUGAUCAGCCACACUGGAACUGAGACACGGUCCAGACUCCUAC